rnacentral:rRNA from 1 species
UACGUAGGGUCCGAGCGUUGUCCGGAAUUAUUGGGCGUAAAGGGCUCGUAGGCGGUUUGUCGCGUCGGGAGUGAAAACUCAGGGCUCAACCCUGAGCGUGCUUCCGAUACGGGCAGACUAGAGGUAUGCAGGGGAGAACGGAAUUCCUGGUGUAGCGGUGGAAUGCGCAGAUAUCAGGAGGAACACCGGUGACGAAGGCGGUUCUCUGGCAUUACCUGACGCUGAGGAGCGAAAGCAUGGGGAGCGAACAGG